UGGGGAAUAUUGGACAAUGGGCGAAAGCCUGAUCCAGCAAUGCCGCGUGUGUGAAGAAGGCCUUCGGGUUGUAAAGCACUUUCAGGGGUGAGGAAGUGGUUAUGCAUAAUACGCAUAACUGUUGACGUUAGCCCCAGAAGAAGCACCGGCUAACUCUGUGCCAGCAGCCGCGGUAAUACAGAGGGUGCUAGCGUUAAUCGGAAUUACUGGGCGUAAAGGGUGUGUAGGUGGUUGGGUAAGUUAGGUGUAAAAACCCCGGGCUUAACCUGGGAAUGUCGCUUGAUACUGCUUAGCUAGAGUACUAUAGAGGAUAGUGGAAUUUCCGGUGUAGCGGUGAAAUGCGUAGAUAUCGGAAGGAACACCAGUGGCGAAGGCGACUAUCUGGAUAGAAACUGACACUGAAACACGAAAGCAUGGGUAGCAAACAGGAUUAGAUACCCCCGUAGUCC
rnacentral:rRNA from 1 species